rnacentral:lncRNA from 1 species
AUCAUAUUAAAAAGAUAUUUACUGCAACUACCUUUGUAGUAUUAACUAUGAAGCACAUAGUAACCAAAUAUGUCACAAAUAAUAAAAUACGAAUCGUAGAUCUCUCCAUCUGAAUAAAGUCAACUCUACAAAUUCUAAAGAACGUCUAAAAGCACUAAUUUCCCGCUAUGCGCAGAUUGAGGAAAGGGUCGUAUGUCUAUUAUACACAACUAUAUUGUGCAUAUCUAAAGAAUGUCUCAAAUUGCAAAAUCAACUAUAAGUGACUAGUUGCACCAGUUGAUAAGGAUGCUCCAGAAACCAUGUCAGCUUGAUAAAAAUACUUCCUCUUUUCGAAUAGGAAUUGAUUCGAUCUUAUUAUUAGAAUAUUCAAAUUCAACUGAAUAUACUGUUUUCAAGAAGGAAUCACCAUCACCAGUGGAAGUUGAACCAGGCGAUCUCUUCCUCCUGAAGUACAGAAAAAUGAAGAAAAAGCAGUCAAUCACAGGGAAGGAAAUAGAGAAGGUAAGGAACCAAUUUCCUUGUUCAAGCCGGUAUUUAAUAAGUAGUAAGUAAGUGAGAAGUCGAUUCUUUUAUGUUGAGAAAAGAAAUCACUUGCUAAGAUGCUUUCAAUCUUACUUGUGCUCAUAUAUCAAAACCUAAUCCCUGUUCAAACUACCUCAUCUGUGAGUCCAAAGCCAAACAUGUAGUCUUCUUUUUGUGAUCGACCUGAACAAACGAUAAAAGAACACAUUUAGGACAAUAAUGAAAGUUAUACAGCCAAACUGUGAGAGAUUGAUUGUCUUCCAAGUAGUAAAAGCAAGAAGGAAAAGAAUAGAUAGAGGGGUGUGCCCCUUAUCUACCAAGUUUUUAUCCAUGCGCCUCUCAUAAAAAAGGUGGGACGAAAUCAAGAAGCUUUUCAUAUUUCGGCGUCAUUGAGGGAAGGAGAAAUGUCCUCAACCCAAAAUGAAAGUCAUUGGGAACAUGUAUUCUGUGAAGGAGCUACGACAAGAUAGAGAAGUCUAGAUGCAACCUACCUCGGCUGAUAAAAUGAAAUUAAGACCCACGUUCAAGCACUCUUCCAAGAAACCAGCAACACAUCCAUCUUCCUUCUGAGACAACACUGUAAUGAAUGCAAAAUAUUGAAACAAUAUGUUAAAUUCAUGAUAACCAUGGUUGAUUAGAAGUCCUAACGCUGUUGCAAUGAAGCCACAAAAGCAAGAUCAAUUAAUUGAGUUCUCAUAACUAUUGCAAAACGCAUAAUAGCAGCCCACAAAAACUUUCUAUAUGACUAUUGGGCACCAAAGGGUAUAGCCUAGUAGUCAAUGAAGUGGAUUAAGAACCAUGUGGUCUCGAAUCAAAUCCCAGUGAAGGCAAAAAAGCUAGUUGAUUUCUUUCCAUUUAUAUAGGCCUUGGUGGACAAAAUUACAGGUACCAGUGUUGGUGGGUGAUAGUAGGUACACCGUGGAAUUAGUAUAGGUGUGUGUUAGUUGGCCCGAACACCAUUGAAAUCCAAUACAAUAAAACAAAAGUUUUUAAUGUCAACAUUGAAAGUCAAGAGAAUUACUUUAGUUAUAUGCUAGUGCGAACUAGAUUCAUUUUAUAUCUUUAGGUUAAUAGCACAAAUUUCCCUAGUUCGGUCAUAAUUAGGGGUUGGCAUGGUAUGGUAGAUACCAAAACUGAAAUUUUUGACACCACAGUUCCGAUAAUAUGAUAUUUGGCAUGCGUAUUUAAAAAAUUUGGUAUUCGACAUUUAUAACAAGAAUACUCUGUGCAACUUUCUGAACAUAACUUGGUGCAACCAUUCCUGUACUAGCAACUUGCCCUGCAUCAACCUGCAUAUAAAUUAAUAGAUAUUUUUUCUGGGAGGGUUUACUCAGAAACAUGAAUGUUUUGAUGUUCCUGUAUAUUAAUAGCACUGAAAAUGAUAUUACUAGACUUAUACUCGCUCUAGACCAUAUUAAGUGAAUUGUUUAAGUAUGGCGCAACCCUUAAGAAAAAUAUUUAAGGACAUAAAAUUAAAGACCAUUUUCUACUAUUACCUUUUUGAUUAUUUUCAAACUAGUCUCCUAGAAAAUGUAAAGAAGUUAAGAAUCUCAUUAAAUGAAGAGUAAAUAUGGAAAAGAGUUCCAACAAUUUUCAUGAACUUUGAAUAAUUCACUUAAUAUGGACUAUACGGAGUAAUGUGACACAUAAGGGAACUUACCACUAUUCCUUUUUUAAGAAUAUCAGUAUGGUCACCAUUUUUUCUCAUAUUAAGAGUGCAAUGACAUUUGAUUUCUAAGAAAAAGAAGAAUGGCAAGAAAAACUCAAACCAAAAUUGAUGUACCUCCUCAUUAGGUUGUGUUGAAAGCUCAAACAAUGUUCUAAUUGCCAUCAACUUUAGCAAAUGCAUAGGCUGUCAUUUCUUUUGCAGGGAUAAAAGGAAAUUGUAUCACAGCGAUAGCGUAGCCGAAUAAACCAAACAAAAUAUCACUUCUUAUUUUUUGAGUGAAGCUCUGGUAUCAUGUCAAGGACAGAAGGAUUCUCCCUUACAACAUCUAUCAAAAAACCAGUUGUAGUUGCAUCAAAUGAGAAGCCCCUUCCAUCCAUUUCCUUCAUAAAAGAUGCCAUUUCACUAAUUUUGUUGCACCUGAGAAAUCCUUGCACAAUAACAUUAUAAGUGACAUUGUUUGGAGAACAACCGUUGUCUUCCAUUUUUCUUAGAAUAUAUUUAGCUUCAUCAAACAACCCUUCAAAACAAAAUCCAUUAAUCAUUAUAGUGUAUGUUCUCACAUCUGGGAGUAAUCCAAUGAAAGAAAGCUUCUUGAAAACAGCAUGUGCUUUGUUGAGUUUACCAUUUUUGCACAAUCCGUUAAUGACAACCCUAUAAAAUGCAAUAUUAGUAUAUUCUUUGUUUCUUUCUAACUUAUUAACGAGUGCCAUAGCUUCUUCAACAAGUCCGUACUUAUAAUAACCAUUGAGCAAAGUGACAUGAAUGUAUAUAUCAGGCUUGGUCCCUGCAGUUAGCAUCUCAGCGUAAAUUUGCUUUGCAUCACCAGUUCUUCCAACUUCAAAAAGACCUUGCAAGAUCGUAUUGUAGGUAAAAUUAUCGGGUUUUGAUCCCUUUUGGGAAAUUUCACAAAACAAUUGCAUGGCCUCAUCCACUUUCUUUUUCUUACAGUAUCCCUUUAUUAGUACGUUAUAGCUAAUAAUGUCGGUCUCAAUGCCCUUAUCUAUCAUGAUACUAAAAAUUCUCCUUGCUCUAUCUAGUUGACCACGCAAACAAUAUCCAUCCAUCAAUGCAUUGUAGGUGAUUGUAUUAGGCUCUACACCCUUUUCGACCAUGUGUUUCAUUACUUCCUCAGCAUCUUUGACUUUCCCUUCUUUGCAUAGUCCAUCUGUUAUUAUGUUUAAGGUAUGCACAUCUGGAUAAAUAUUAAGGUUCACCAUCUCAUAGAACAAACUCGUAACCUUUUCCCACUGACCAAACUUACACAAACCAUCAAUUAUUGAAUUAUAUGUGACUAUGUCUGGAGGAAUGUCUUUCUGCUUCAUCUCGUUCAGAAUAUUGAUAGCAGCAUCUAAGUUUCCAUCUUUGCAAAGAGCAUCUAUAACAAUGCUGUAGAUAUAUAUGGUGGGCUCAGUAUUACCUUGUUCCAUUAACCGGAGCAAACUUAAAGUCUUCUGAGUAUGACCCCUUUUGCUUAGCCCAUUCAUGACGAUUGCAUACAUGACUUCGUCAGGCUCACAAAUCUUGUCUCUCACCAACUUCUUGAACAAUUCAACUGCAUCUUUGACCUUAUUUUGAGCAAAGAUUCCUUUUAAUAGGGUGUUAAAGGUAACAGUAUUAAAUGGAAUGCCAUUCUUCAAGUAAAUGGGUAACACCGAAAAUGCACAAUCAACCCGAUACAUCAGGCAAUAACUAUUAAUCAUGAUAUUUAAGAUGAAAUCACUAAUUGGGAUGCCCAAUUUCAGCAUUUGUCGAAAAAGAGAAAGGGCACCAGAGUAAUGUUUCAUCUUUAUCAUAGUCUUAAACAAUUGAGAGAAAUGGACAACUGAAGGAAGAGGCUUCAUUGUAACCAUUUGAUGGAAGAGAGUAACAGCAUCAUCUAAAUUGCUACUAUUUACACCAAAUUUAUCCAUUACUGAAAUGGAUUUUUUACUGUAACGGCAUGAAGAAUAAGCUCUAAUUGUAAAUGCCGAACCAGAAAUGGAAGAGAUAAAGGGAAUACCAUUGCAAUUGCGCAGAGAAAUCCUCCUCAUCUUCUUCAAUGGCUGUAUCUCCGUGUGCCCUAAUUUUGCAAGAAACUAAUACAUUCAGCUUCUUUGGAUUUUUUUUUUGUUUGCCAUUCGCUCAUUCCCAUCCCUAAUAUUAGAGCACGACUAAAUUUAAAUUUACCUCGAAAAAUCUUAGCAACCAUCCAAAAAAAGGCAAGUGUCGUUACGCUGUUAAUUUAUUUUUUUUCAUUUUAUUUUUGAAUUAUUAUUUAAUAAUCUUAUUGUAUACUGUUAUUUUUUUUUAAAAAAAAUAUUGUGUACCCUAUGUUUAUUUAUAGUGUUAUAAAUUUAUUCUUUAUAUUAUUGAUGUGUGAUAUUAUGUAACAACAUAAUCGAUACAUUUCAUUCAAAUAUUAUAUUAACUAAAACAAUACAAUAUAUUAUGUAACAAUAUAUAAUAAUCAUCAAAACAAUCUGCAAUUAAUACACUAUGAAAGGUUGUUUGCUUGCUCGUUAAGAAGUAAGUUAUUUAUGUAUUAAAAUUAAUAUUAUAACUAAUAACAUGCUUAAGAUUAGUAUUUUAGUUGCUAUGCAUAAAAUUAAAUACGUUAAUUGAUUACCAUUUUACAAUCUCACAAAUUAUUAUAAAUGUAUAAACUAGGUGAGAUCUAUUUAGUCCCCCCUUGUCCCCCUAUUUACUUGUCAAUUUUUGACUUGACACACCUAUUAAGAAAAUAAUAAUUGACAUAAUGAGUUUACUAUUUUAUUCUUAUUAAUUGAUAGAAUUUCAAAAUCAAGUUACUCAUUAAAGGGGUUCUACCUUUUUCAAAAACAUUAACUCUCUAAAUAAAUUGAGCGUAUAAUAAAUUAAAAAAAAUAUUAUCUUUUCUUAAUUUGUCAAAAAUGACAAGUAGAAAGGGACAAAUAAAGAAUCAAAAUUGAACAAGUAAGAACGUUACAUAGGAGAAAAAUAAAAUGAAGUAUACUACAUGAAUAAUUAAGUCUUCAUCUAGGUGAAUAACUCUAACUAGCGAAAAAACAACCCCUUAAAGGGUAAUUUGUUAUGUAUAAAAUAACUCUUACUUAAAAUAUACAUUUUAAUUAUUUGGAUUUGAACAUGAGAUCUUAUGAUUCUCAAUCCACUUUAUCGAUCAAUUAUACCACCCCCUUGAUAAGUCAUAUUUUUGGAAAACACAACUUUUUUUUUGACCUAACAGAGAAGGCAUGAUUAUAGAUGUUGAAGGAUAUUCAGAAAAUGUGUCUUAUUUCAUGAAACAUGCAUUUAUCUCAGUUAGUUAGAACUCAACUUAAAAUUAAAUUCAAAUGAUUCUAAAGACUAACUUCAUAAACUAAACUUAGAAGGAAAUAUAUGUGUUACUCAAAUCUUAAAGUGUUUACAAGAUUGAAUAUUUCAUAGACAACUAAAAACAUACUCCCUCCGUCCCUAUUUACUUGUCCAUAUUUCCUUUUUUGGUUGUCCCUAUUUAGUUGUCCAUUUUGACAAAUCAAGAAAGGACAACAAAUUUUUUCCUAUUAUACCCUUAUUUACACUUCUUGAAAAUUGUAAAAGUGUAUGUUGUUUCCCUCCAAUUUAUUUCACUUGAAUUCAAAUAAGUGGUUGUAAUUUUGAAGUGAAAAGUUGUCAUAGGGUAAAAUUGUAACUUCACUGUGCUAAUCAUUGUUGCCUUAAUCUGUGUGCCAUUUCUAAAAUGGACAACUAAAAAGGGAUGGAGAGAGUAUCUGAUAGUCAAAGAUGCGUAGUACAUGUGUUGUUGGUGGGAGGUAGCAUGUACUUGCUGAAUAGUUGAAGGUACACACAAGUGGGUCAGAACAGUACCGUCAUUAAAAAAAAAUUAAUGACAACUAUGAUAAAGCUAACACAUGGAGAUAUGAUCAUGUAACAAUUUCAACAUUACAUUUGCGUCCACGCAACCAAAGUUCUCAUAACAGAAGCAACAUUAUUACACCCCAGACUAAUAAGUGCAUUAGAAAGAUUAGUUACCAUACCUAAAGAAUUGGUAAGUGUGCAUUUAAGUACAACAACAAAACAAAUAAGUCUCAAUCCCAAAUCCCUGGAUUUUCACUAAUCACAUCAUACAAUAAAAGCACAUGGAUAAUGUAAAACCCAAAAUCUUGGGUUGUAAAACAUAAACUUUAUAUUUAUUGAUAACCGUGGUGUCUAGGCCAACUACAAGUGACUAGUUGCACCAGUUGAUAAGGAUGCUCCAGAAACAAUGUCAGCUUGAUAAAUAUACUUCCUCUUUUCGAAUAGGAAUUGAUUUGAUCUUAUUAUUAGAAUAUUCAGAUUCAAUAGAAAAUACUGUUUUCAAGAAGGAAUCACCAUCACCAGUGGAAGUUGAACCUGGCGAUCUCUAUCUCCUCAAGUAUGGAAAAAGGAAGAAAAAGCAGCCAAACACAGGGAAGGAAAUAGAGAAGGUAAGGGACCACUUUCCUUGUUCAAGCUGGUAUUUAAUGAGUAAGUAGUAAGUAAGUGAGAAGUCGAUUCUUUUAUCGUUGAGAAAACAGAUCACUUGCUAAGAUGCUUUCAAUUUUACUUGUGCUUAUAUAUCAAAACCUAAUCCCUGUUCAAACUACCUCAUCUGUUCUCUAACUGUGAGUCCAAAGCCAAACUUGUAGUCUUCUUUUUUGAUUGACCUGAACAAGCGAUAAAGAACACAUUUAGGACAAUAAUGAAAGUUAUACAGCCAAACUGUGAGAGAUUGAUUGUAUUCGAAUUAGUAAAAGCAAGAAGGAAAAUAAUAGAUAGAGGGGUGUGCCCCUUAUCUACCAAGUUUUUAUCCAUGCGCCUCUCAGAAAAAAGGUGGGAGGAAAUCAAGAAGCUUUUCAUAUUUCGGCAUCAUUGAGGGACGGAGUAACAUCCUCAACCCAAAAUUAAAGUCAUUGGGAACAUGUAUUCUGUGAAGGAGCCACGACAAGAUAGAGAAGUCAAGAUGCAACCUACCUUGGCUGAUAAAAUGAAAUUAAGACCCACGUUCAAGCGCUCUUCCAAGAAACCAGCAACACAUCCAUCUUCCUUCUGAGACAACAUUGUAAUGAAUGCAUCAUAUUGAAACACUAUGUUAAAUUCAUGAUAACCAUGGUUGAUUAGAAGUCCUAAUGUUGUUGCAAUGAAGCCACAAAAGCAAGAUCAACUAAACGAGUUCUCAAAACUAUUGCAUAACGCAUAAUAGCAGCCCACAAAAAGUGUCUAUAUGACUAUUGUGCACCAAAGGGUGUGGCCUAGGAGUCAAUGAAGUGGAUUAAGAACCAUGUGGUCUCGAAUCAAAUCCCAGUGAAGGCAAAAAAGAUAGUUGAUCUCUUUCCAUCUAUAUAACCCUUGGUGGACAAAAUUACAGGUACCAUUGUUGGUGGGAGAUAGUAGGUACACCGUGAAAUUAGUAUAGGUGUGUGUUAGUUGGCCCGAACACCAUUGAAAUCCAAUACAAUAAAACAAAAGUUUUUAAUGUCUACAAUGAAAGUCAAGAGAAUUACUUUAGUUAUAUGCUAGUGCGAACUAGAUUCAUUUAAUAUAUUCAGGUUAAUAGCACAAAUUUCCAUAGUUCGAUCAUAAUUAGGGGUUGGCAUGGUAUGGUAGAUACCAAAACUGAAAUUUUUGACACCACACUUCCAAUAUUAUGAUAUUUGGCAUGCCUAUUUAAAAUUUUUGGUAUUCGACAUUUAUAACAAGAAUACUCAGUGCAACUUUUCCACUAUUACCCUUUUGAUUAUUUUCAAACUAGUCUCCUAGAAAAUGUUAAAAAGUUAAGAAUCUCAUUAAAUGAAGAGUAACUAUGGAAAAGAGUUCCAACAAUUUUCGUGAACUUUGAAUAAUUCGCUUACUUUGAACUACGAAAAAAGUCUCAAUAAUUCACUUAAUUUGGACUACACGGAGUAAUGUGACACAUAAGGGAACUUACCACUAUUCCUUUUUUAAGAAUAUCAGUAUGGUCACCAUUUUUUCUCAUAUUAAGAGUGCAAUGACAUUUGAUUUCUAAGAAAAAGAAGAAUGGUAAGAAAAACUCAAACCAAAUUGAUGUACCUCCUCAUUAGGUUGUGUUGAAAGCUCAAACAAUGUUCUAAUUGCCAUCAACUUUAGCAAAUGCAUAGGCUGUCAUUUCUUUUGCAGGGAUAAAAGGAAAUUGUAUGACAGCGAUAGCGUAGCCGAAUAAACCAAACAAAAUAUCACUUCUUAUUUUUUGAGUGAAGCUCUGGUAUCAUGUCAAGGACAGAAGGAUUCUCCCUUACAACAUCUAUCAAAAAACCAGUUGUAGUUGCAUCAAAUGAGAAGCCCCUUCCAUCCAUUUCCUUCAUAAAAGAUGCCAUUUCACUAAUUUUGUUGCACCUGAGAAAUCCUUUCACAAUAACAUUAUAAGUGACAUUGUUUGGAGAACAACCGUUGUCUUCCAUUUUUCUUAGAAUAUAUUUAGCUUCAUCAAACAACCCUUCAAGACAAAAUCCAUUAAUCAUUAUAGUGUAUGUUAUCACAUCCGGGAGUAAUCCAAUGAAAGAAAGCUUCUUGAAAACAGCAUGCGCUUCGUGGAGUUUACCAUUUUUGCACAAUCCGUUAAUGACAACACUAUAAAAUGCAAUAUUAGUAUACUCUUUGUUUCUUUCUAACUUAUUAAAGAGUGCCAUAGCUUCUUCAACAAGUCCGUACUUAUAAUAACCAUUGAGCAAAGUGACAUGACUGUAUAUAUCAGGCUUGGUCCCUGCAGAUAGCAUCUCAGCGUAAAUUUGCUUUGCAUCACCAGUUCUUCCAACUUCAGAAAGACCUUGCAAGAUCGUAUUGUAGGUCAAAUUAUUGGGUUUUGAUCCCUUUUGAGAAAUUUCACAAAACAAUUGCAUGGCCUCAUCCACUUUCUUUUUCUUACAGUAUCCCUUUAUUAGUAUGUUAUAGCUAAUAAUGUCGGUCUCAAUGCCCUUAUCUAUCAUGAUACUAAAAAUUCUCCUUGCUCUAUCUAGUUGACCACGCAAACAAUAUCCAUCCAUCAAUGCAUUGUAGGUGAUUGUAUUAGGCUCUACACCCCUUUUUCGACCCAUGUGUUUCAUUACUUCCUCAGCAUCUUUGACUUUCCCUGCUUUGCAUAGUCCAUCUGUUAUUAUGUUGAAGGUAUGCACAUCUGGAUACAUAUUAAGGUUCACCAUCUCUGAGAACAAAGUUUAACCUUUUCCCACUGACCGAGCUUACACAAACCAUCAAUUAUUGAAUUAUAUGUGACUAUGUUUGGAAGAACGUCUUUCUGCUUCAUCUCGUUCAGAAUGUUGAUAGCAGCAUCUAAGUUUCCAUCUUUGCAAAGAGCGUCUAUAACAAUGUUGUAGAUAUAUAUGUUGGGCUCAGUAUUACCUUGUUCCAUUAACCGGAGCAAACUUAAAGUCUUCUGAGUAUGACCCCUUUUGCUGAGCCCAUUCAUUACUGUUGCAUACAUGAUUUCAUCGGGAUCACAAAUCUUCUCUCUCACCAAUUUUUUGAACAAUUCAACAGCAUCUUUAACCUUAUUUUCAGCAAAGAUUCCCCUUAUUAGAGUUGUAAAGGUAACACUAUUAAACGGAAUGCCAUUCUUCAAGUAAAUAGGUAACACCGAAAAUCCAAAAUCAGCACGAUGCAUCAGGCAAUAACUAUUAAUCACACUAGUCAAGAUGAACCCAUUAAUUGGAAUGCCCAAUUUCCACAUUUGUCGGAAAAGAGAAAGGACAGGUGAGUAAUGCUUCAUACUUAUCAUAGUCUUAAACAAUUUAGAGAAAUCGACAACUGAAGGAAGAGGCUUCAUUCUAACCAUUUGAUGGAAGAGAGUAACAGCAUCAUCUAAAUUGCCACUAUUUACACCAAGUUUAUCCUUUACUGAAAUUGAUUUGUUACUGUAAUGGCAUGAAGAACAAGCUCUAAAUGUAAAUGCCGAACCAGAGAUGGAAGAGAUAAAGGGAAUACCAUUGCAACUCCGCAGAGAAAUUCUCUUCAUCUUUUUCAAUGGCUGUAUCUCCGUGUGCCCUAAUUUUGCAAGAAACUUAUAUACAGCUUCUUCUUUGGAGUUUGGAUUUUUCUUUUGGUUUGUCGCUCCGGUGCUACUCAUAUUAGAGCCCAAUUAAAUUUAAAUUAACAAUGCAAUCGGUAAUAACUAUCCAAACAAAUGAACAAGGUAGUAUCAUUACCUUGUUAAUUUAUUUUUUUCAUUUUAUCUUCGGGUUAUUAUUUAAUAAUUUUAUUUUAUAUUAUUAUUUUUUUCUAAUAAUUCUAUGGUCGAACCUAUAUUUAUUUAUAGUGUUAUAAAUUUAUUCUUUAGAUUAUUGAUGUGUGAAAUUAUAUAACAACAUGCUCGAUACAUUUCAUUCAAAUAUUAUAUUAAUCAAAACAAUACAAUACAUUAUUUAACAAUAUAUAACAAUCAUCUAAACAAGUUGCAACUAAUACACUAUGAAGGGUUAUUUGCUUACUCGUUAAGAAGUAAGUUAUUUAUGUAUUAAAAGUAAUAUAACUAAUAACAUGCUUAGUAGUAUUUUAGUUGUUAUGCAUAAAAUUAAAUACAUUAAUUGAUUACCAAUUUACAGUCUCACAAAUUAAUACACGUAUAAAUGUAUAAACUAGGUGAGAUCUAUUUACUCCCCCUUGUCCCUAUUUACUUGUCAAUUUUUGACUUAACACACCUAUUAAAAAAAAAAUUGACAUAGUGAGUUUACUAUUUUACCCUAUUAAUUGAUAGAAUUUCAAAAUCAUUUUACUCAUUAAAGGGGUUCUACCUUUUUCAAAAACAUUAACUCUCUAAAUAGAUUGAGCAUAUAUAAGUAAAAAAAAACAUUAUUUUUUCUUGAUUUGUCAAAAAUAACAAGUAAAAAGGGACAAAUAAAGAAUCAAAAUUGAAUAAGUAAAAAGGUUAUAUAGGGGGGAAAUGAAACGAAGUAUACUACAUGAAUAAUUAAGGCUUCAUCUAAGUAAAUAACUCAUACUUAAAAUAUAUAUUUUAAGAGUUAAUAUCUUAAAAGGUCAUUGAACUAUAAGAAUUUAUCUUAUGAAGUCACUGAACUUCGUUUUAUAUCAAUAAAAUUACUCAACUUAAGAUUUAUAUAAUAUAAUAACCUAACGAGAAAUCCCUAGAUUUGGUGAAUCGAUAUCUAAUAUCAAUUUGUAGGCAUGUUAUGCAAGUUGAGUUAAUAUCUUAAAAGGUUUAUAUCUUCAAAAAUCACUCAAUUAUAUUUAUCAAUAAAAUAAAUUUGACAUGACAAAAGAAAUUAUUUUUCUUAUUUCAUGUAAACAUGAACUCCACAAAUAAACAAAAUAAUUAACAUAGUUAUUUUUAUCAUUACCUCUAAUUUCACACACUGUGACGCACUCCACAAAUAAACAAAAUAAUUAACAUAGUUAUUUUAUCAUUACCUCUAAUUUCACAAACUGUGACAAGCUAAAAUUAACCUCAUUCGCAAUAAUUGAUUUUGGGUUUGAUUAGUUCCAAGAAUUGGCAGCAAUUCAAUGAAGAACUAGAAUCCAGUGAUGAUGACCCUCCAUUGGAGUUAAUCAAGAAAGCUUCGGAAGAUGAAAUGGCAGUGGUGUUAAUUGGACUACUGCUAUCUUCGGUCAAGAUCCACUGAAGUCACUAUCUGAUUACCCAUCUUUGAAAUGAAUAAAAAUAAUUGAGGGAUUCAUAAUAAUUCCAUUUCCACCAUUAGAGCGUCAGCUAUCAAAGUUGAGCUCUGUAUUUGUAAUAAUUUGUGUAUAUAAAAAUGUUAUUCCUUAAGAAUUGGGUUCUAUUUUCAACUUGUAGGUUUUAACUUGCUUAUCACUUAUAUUAAAUUGAUAAUAACUUAUUGUCUUCCCUAUUGCCCAGUGCUCACAGGCCACAAACCUCUAGAAAUUUUCACAUUUUUCAAAAAAAUAUUGUAUAUUUAAUUUGUGGGUUAUAUAUUUAUAUGACAUAUAAAAUAAUUUAUUUGUAGUUGAAUGAUUUUUGAAGAUAAAAGUUUAAAGUUGAGUGAUUUUCUUGAUACAAAACAAAGUUCAAAGACUUUACUAGAUAAAUUGUCAUAGUUCAAUGAUCUUUUAAGAUAUUAACUCUAUAUUUUAAUUAUGUGGGAUGAUAAAAUAAUAACUACACACAAUAAUCAAUUUGGCCGUACUUUUACAAUUAAUUUAUUUGGAAAAAUGUUAUUUUUAAAAGUGGUUUUAAAAAAAUACUUAUGAUGAAAAACAACAUGUGUUUGGGUAAUAAAUUAAAAAAAACACUUUCGAAACAAUUAGUGUUUAAUCAAAAAAUUUAAAAAUGCUUCUAAGCCAGUGCUCACAGGCCACAAACCUCUAGAAAUUUUCACAUUUUUCAAAAAAAUAUUGUAUAUUUAAUUUGUGGGUUAUAUAUUUAUAUGACAUAUAAAAUAAUUUAUUUGUAGUUGAAUGAUUUUUGAAGAUAAAAGUUUAAAGUUGAGUGAUUUUCUUGAUACAAAACAAAGUUCAAAGACUUUACUAGAUAAAUUGUCAUAGUUCAAUGAUCUUUUAAGAUAUUAACUCUAUAUUUUAAUUAUGUGGGAUGAUAAAAUAAUAACUACACACAAUAAUCAAUUUGGCCGUACUUUUACAAUUAAUUUAUUUGGAAAAAUGUUAUUUUUAAAAGUGGUUUUAAAAAAAUACUUAUGAUGAAAAACAACAUGUGUUUGGGUAAUAAAUUAAAAAAAACACUUUCGAAACAAUUAGUGUUUAAUCAAAAAAUUUAAAAAUGCUUCUAAGUAUAUUUUUCUCAAAGGUAUUUUUCAAAAAAAAAAAAGUGUUUAUAAAGAAAAAAAAACUACCUUUUUGGCUCAUGGAACUCUCAAAGAUUUAGCCAGCCAUUUCUUUUAAAAAAUAAUAAUAAUAAACAUUUUUCGACCUCCUAAAAACUUAUCCAAACAAACUACUAGUGUGCUAAAUUUUAGAUAAAGCCACUAAAAUCCUAAAUAUGAUAUUGAAAUACUAAAUUUUUAAUGCAUGAAUAAUUCUCUUUCUAACUAGUAUUCAAACAACCCCUUAUAUUUUAAAAAUUAAAUUCUUGUCAUUUUAUAAUAUUGAAAUUCCACAAAAAUAUAAAAGUAGAAUUUUCUAUACCCUCCAAAAUCGAACACCAUAAUCCCUUAAAAUGGUCGUGUAAGUAAAUAGAUUUUAAAAAUAUGAGGUAGAGGAAUGAAAAACAAACCAAAUUCAAAGUGCAAGAAAGCAAUUACUUGUAAUUACUUGUGCUAUGUCAAUAAUGCAUGCAAUUGAAUCAUAUCAAUAAAAAUAUUUAUUGCAAUUACUUCAUUUUUUAUUUAUCAACUAUCCUUUUUGAUAACCCAUGAUAUUUGAACCAACUAUCGCAUACUUGUUUCCUCCCCGCAAUAAAUACUAGAUAUUUUUAUUUGUAAAAACUAAAAUAGUGGAAAGAAAUCACAUAAUACUUUCGUGCAAGAUAUCCCCAAAAAUUUGAUAAAAGCCUAAGCAUCUACCUAAUUCUAUCACCUUCAUAAUUCCCUAUGCUAUAUAGUAUUACACCGACGACAUUAUCUCAAGAGAAUUAGAAAUUGACUAUAGAAAAUUCAUAUAGUCUGAAACAGACAUAGAUGAUUGACACUUCCUUUUUAUAAGGAUGGUAUCUAAACCACCUCGACUAUUUCACUAGAUGCUUGCUAUCUCCCACCAUCACAAAUACUAGACGAAGAAAAUUACUAACUGUUAUCUUUGUUGGAAUCUGAACUAUGAUUUCCCCUUGUUUUCACAAAGCAGGUAUUCAAACACCUUCAAAAUCUCUAAACACUACAUUAAAUUUAACCAUAGAAUUAUUAAGCAUAUAGCAUCCAGUAAAAUCAGAAUGGUAGAUCUCUUUAUCAAAAUAAAGUCAACUCUACAAUUCUAAACUGUCUAAAAGAAUUUUCCGAAAUUGCAAAAAUCAACUAUUAGUGACUAGUUGCACCAGUUGAUGAAAUGUAUGUUCCAGAACCAAUGUCGCUCGAUAAAAAUACAAAACUGAUGUUUCGAUUCUUUUAUCGCUGAGAAAAAGCAUCACUUGUUAAGAUGCUUUCAAUUUUAAUCUUGUGCUCAUAUGCUAAUACCUAAUCCCUGUUUAAGCUGCCUCCUCUAUUCUCCAACUGUGAGUCCAAAACCGAACUUGUAGUCUUUCUUUUUGUGAUCGACCUGAACAAGCGAUAAGGAACACAGUUAGGACACCAAUGAAAGUCAUUCUACCAAACUGUGAGAUUGGAUUCCAACAAGUAUAAGCAUGAAGGAGGGAAAUAGAUAAGAGGGGUGUGCCCCUAAUAUAAGAGUUUCAAUCCAUGCACUAGCUGCCUUAAGAAAUUUCACGGUUAUCCGAAGGAAAAGAAAACAAGAAUAGG